ACGCUCGACACUUACGGGAGGCAGCAGUGGGGAAUAUUGGGCAAUGGGCGAAAGCCUGACCCAGCAACGCCGCGUGAGGGAAGAAGGUUUUCGGAUUGUAAACCUCUGUCCUCAGGGACGAAGGACGUGACGGUACCUGAGGAGGAAGCCCCGGCUAACUACGUGCCACAGCCGCGGUAAUCUGAGCGGGCUGGCAAGGC
rnacentral:rRNA from 1 species